rnacentral:rRNA from 1 species
GACGAACGCUGGCGGCGUGCUUAAUACAUGCAAGUCGAACGGAAAGGCCCUGCUCUUGUGGGGUGCUCGAGUGGCGAACGGGUGUGUAACACGUGAGUAUCCCGCCCUUGACUUUGGGAUAACAUCAGGAAACUGGGGCUAAUACCCGAUAGGAUCUCCUGCUGCAUGGUGGUGGUUGGAAAGUUUCGGCGGUUGGGGAUCGACUCGCGGCUUAUCAGCUUGUUUGUGGGGUAGUGGCUUACCAAGGCUUUGACGGGUAGCCCGCCUGAGAGGGUGACCGGCCACAUUGCGACUGAGAUACGCCCCAGACUCCUACGUGAGGCAGCGGUGGAGAAUAUUACACAAUGGGCGGAAGCCUGAUACAGAAACGCCGCGUGCGGGAUGACGGCUUACGGGUUAUAAACCGCUUUCGCAUGAAACGAAGCGUGAGUGACGGUAAUGAGUCAAAAAGCACCGGCUAACUACGUG